CGGGGUGCGGUCUAGCCUGGAGUGGACGCCUCAUUUGGGAUGAGGAGAUCGAAGGUUCAAAUCCUUCUGCCCCGACCU
rnacentral:tRNA from 1 species